rnacentral:rRNA from 1 species
CCGGCACGGGUGAGUAACACGUAUGGAACCUGCCCUAUGCAGGGGGAUAAGCGGAAGAAAUUCCGUCUAAUACCGCAUAACACCUUUAGGAGACAUCUUCUUGGGGUCAAAGGAGGCGACUCCGGCAUAGGAUGGCCAUGCGUCGCAUUAGCUAGUCGGCGGGGUAACGGCCCACCGAGGCGACGAUGCGUAGGGGUUCUGAGAGGAAGGUCCCCCACACUGGUACUGAGACACGGACCAGACUCCUACGGAAGGCAGCAG